rnacentral:rRNA from 1 species
AUGAGGAGCUUCUCAUCCUCAUCUCCUUAUCUCUCCCCUGACGACCCAGCUGCGGCAGCCCUACAAGGCUACAAAAAUGGAUCAUGCAGAAAUGGCAACUCACCCGUCCCGGAGAUGACGACGUCUCCGCCACGUCUCCCCUGCGUGUUCGUGCCAGAUUUUGGUGUGGCGGUGCCGGUGCCUCACCUGGGCUACGUCCGCCGGCGUGGACGUCGGGCGGAGCUCCUCGACGACGAGGGGGUGGUGGUGGACUCAUGCAGCUGGGAGCGCGAGGCGGAGUGGCGGGUGGGCCAGGAGGUGGGGUUCCCGUGCCACGUCGCGGAAAUUGCGGCGGCUGACCGGUGGGGCGAGGUGGGGGUGCGGUUCGAGGUGAGUAAUGGCGAGAGUGGGGCUGUGAGAGGGGUUAUUGGCCCAACGCCUCGGCUCUCUUCUCCCCCACACCUCCCAAAUCUCGCCCAUGAAAUUCACCGCUCGCCGCAGCCGCGACAGUUAGGGUUCGAUGACGACGAGGGAGCAGCAGAUGUGGGCGCUCUCCGACGGCGACGAGGUCCUGAUGGGGCGGCUGAAGGAAAUCGACCGCUGGUUUCCGACGGCGAAGUCGCUCAACGACGCAUCGGAGUUGGUGCGGGACAAGCUGCGCGGCGAGGAGAUCCUCAUAUGCUUCCCCAACUACGAUCGCCAGCCGGCGAUGGGGGUGAUCCUGUGGGCGAUGCUCGAGGCGGAAUCGCUGGUCCCCGAGCAGAGGGAGAAGUGGAAGCUGUUUCGCUCCCUUCGCUACCGUCUGAUCUAGCCGAGAGCGCCGCCUCCGGCGCAGCAGGAACAACCCCGGGAGGUGGUGAUGGGGAUCCCUGCCCCAGGAUCCAGAUGGCUGCCGAUCCAAAUCGAGGAAGACGCGGAGCUCAUGGAGACGGAGGAGGAAGCGGCGGCGCCGCCGCGACGUGCCAGGGGGUCUUCGACCCCAACCUCACUCCCUCGCCGGUCCCCGUGGUUCCCGAGGCGCUCGCCUCGCAUCCUCGCUCUCUCCCGCCGCCAGUAGGGUGCUCGCCGGCGGGCAACCGUUUCUGGUUGCUGUCCGGCGAGGACGCUGAGGAGGAGGGGGAGGGGGAGGCCUUCUUUUCCGAUUCAGAUAAAGGAGUCGUCAAGAAAAACUUUGGAGCUGGGAGCAAGGGUGCUAGAACAUGCAGCAAAUGA